CACUUUCUGUUCGAAUCAUUUAAAACUGUAUUGUUUGAAGAUAAGUAGUUUAUUUACGGCAAUCGAAUCGAUGGUACACAAACUGUGGUAAAAAUGAGUCUAUUAAUUGCAAAAAAUAUGUUGCUGUUCCUGUUUGUGACACUAUUUUGUUUCGAAGAUAUACUUGCCGCAAAUUUUUUUAAUAAGUUAUUUACACACAAAAAUGAAGGAAAAAAUACUAAGGAAUUGGAAGAAAUAUUUUCUAAAUUCACAGUGGAUCAACCCUUAAUUAAAGCAUCUUAUGAAAAAUUUGAUGAAAAAAAAUAUACCACCAUCUGUUGGAAUGAGAAAGCAACUUUGCAUUUUUUUGAAAAUGGCACUAAUUAUGGCUACAUUGAGUACUCUAUUAGCUUGGAAGCAUCGCCAAAAUUAGCUCCAACUAACUCUAUAGCUCGUGAUAAAGAAACUUAUGAAAUCACAGACAAUGAUACAAAAGAAUCUCGCAAAUUAGAUUUUGUGACAGUGGAACAAACCAUUAUCGAAACAAUUAAACAAAAUCUUACUUUUAUUUGUAGAUCAGGUAAAAUUUUGUCCAAGUCAUUCAUUGAUCUUCCUGAAAGGAAACGUGUAGAAAUUAAACUGAAACCAGUUUUUCAAAACGUUCAAGCUGGCACUACAAACAGAAAAGAGACUUCAAGAUCUGGCAAACAGGCAAUUGAAGUAAGAAUAUUACCAAAAUCGACUGUUGAAAGAAGAGGUGAAAAAAAUUUAAAUUUGACACAGAAGACAACAUUCUUACAAAAACAAAACGUGUCUGCAGGACCUAGGUCACUUCCUCAAUAUCAAAAAGAAAAUUUAAAUACUUCGCAAACAGAACAUACUUUUUCAACAAGAAUUUUCUCUCCGAAUCUGAAUAAUACGCAAGAUUUAAACUCUCAGUUAAAAGCAAUUGAGGAGAACGGUGCUUUAGUUGGAACAAGAGUGAAGUCAACUAAUGACGCAAAUAAAAAUAAAUCAAAUGAAACUACUGCGAAAUCUGGACAAGAUUUAGAGAUAACAAUGUUACCAAGAAUGUUAUUUACGAAUAAGAGUAUAAUGCAAGAAAAUUCAAACAUUCAAGGUACUGAACCUACACCGAGUUCGGUGUCGAAAAUAUCACCAAGAAUUUUACCUAACAAUGAAAAUUUACAACAAGAAACUUUAAGUAAAAUUAUAAAAAAACUAGAAAACUCAAACUCUUUACGGGCACCAAAUUCUCAACAAGAAAGUGCAUUAAUAUCUUCAAAAAUUAUCUCUCAAAGUCAGGAUUUGCCGCCAAAAAAUAAAUCGCAAACUGUUAAAAUAGAAAGUGCUUCAAAACCUUUAAACGGUACUGACAAUAAUAAAUCAAACGGAAACGUUACAAACUUUCUACCAAGUUUAGAAGCUCCAUCAAAAAUUUUGCAAAAUUUAGAGUUAAAUUCUUCAUUUGCGAAAAUUUCUAAGCCAGUUGCUAAAAAGACCAAAGAAUCUUUACCAAGUUCUAAGGUAAACAUUUCACCAAGAAUUGUACCUCAGAGUCAGAAUUUACAAAAAUCAGUCUCUCAACUAGAACCUGGAAACACUGCAAAGUCUUCAUCAAGUUCUGACAAAAAGAAAAUUUUGCCAAAAAUUUUACCAGAGGGUCAGAAUGGACAACAAUCAAAAUCUCAGCUAAAACCUGGAGAGAAAACAGAGUCUCUAACCAAUUAUGGGAUUAAAAUAACAUCCAGAAUUUUACCUACGAAUCAGACAACACAACAGUCGUCUUUUCAGCUAGAAUCUCAAAGUAAAACAGAGUCUCUACCAAGUUCUGAGAAGAAAAUAUUACCACGAAUUUUAUCCAACAAUCAGAGUAUGCCACAACCAAAUUCUCAGCUUAAAUCUGAAAAAAUUACACCAAGUUCUGAUACUGUAGAAUUACCUAAAAAUCAAAAUGCGGAUCAAGUAAAAUCUGACUCAAAAGUAGCUGCAACUUUUCAGUCAAAACAAAAAAACAUUACAAAAAUUCCAAAAGUCGAUGAGAUAAAAACACAACCCAGAAACUUACAACUAGAAAAUUUACAAACUUCUCAUCAAAAAGAAUUGAAUCGUCCAUCAGCAACAUCACCGGAAAUUCUUCCUCAGACACAAAAUUUGACAAUUAAAGAAUCAAUUGUCGAUCUGAAAACAAGUAAAGGAGAUAGUGAUCGAGUUAAAUCGAAAAUGAUGUCUAAAAAUGAAGCCGAUAAAAACAAACCAAAUGAAAGCACUGCAAAAUCUCUACCAAAUUUAAAAUCUGUUUCUGAGACAAAAACAUCACUUAAAAAUGAAAAUUUAGAGCAAGAAAAAUCAACUCCUCAAAAAAAUAUGAUUACUCCAACUCCUAGAAUUUUAACUGAGAAUGAGAAUUUGCAUCGAGAAAAGUCAAACAUAUCGUUAGUGCUAACUUCUAACCAGAAAAAUCAUUUAACAGCAAAAGCACCAACGUCUCCAGAAGAAAACAUUGGAGAAAAUUCCGUGAAGACAAUAUCACCAAAAUUGCUUGAACAGAAUAAGAGGCUGGAAGAGGAAAACACAAGUGACACACCUGACAAGAAAAUUGAUGCAUAUUCUGUUUUACCAAGAUCACUUCUGGAUUAUAUAAAAAGCAUUAAAAACAAGAUAGCUAAUUUUAAAUUGACAAGAAACGAUAAAUCCCAACAUUCUGAUAAAGACAAAUUAAGUGAAAAAACUGAAACUGACGAAACACUGUCGGCAAGAAUGAUGCCUUUAUCAUCAUCUGAUUUGGAGUCAUAUGAAAAUGACGUUCCAGACGUUAUGUCGAUUCCAAACAACUACAGGGAAUUUGAAAUCGGUGAUCCAAUGAGGGAAGGUAUGCUUGAAGGUUUCGACUCCCAACAAAAACUCCCGCUACAAUACAACAAAUUUCUGAAAAACGGCUUAGGUUUCGAACAACAAACUGGUGAACAAGGAUAUGUCGGAAAGCAAUUUCUUGGAUGCAAAAACGGAAAAGUCACCGUAAAGUUAAACAUGGACAUAUUGAAUGGAAAUUCAAAAGUCAAAAACAUUGCAAAGGAAAUAGAGCUUGAUAUUAAUCAUCAUACUGAAGACAGAAAUAAAGAUUUUGAUUAUCAACUGAAAAAUUUGAUUCAUAAUUAUUUCGGCAAUGAUUUGUACAUGACAAACUGUGUGGAAAAUGAAGAUCCUUCAUUGGAUAUUGCAGCAAUGCCACGCACUUUGCAAGAUAAUCAAGAGCAGCAAAUCACGGACUUAAAUCUACCACAUACGGUACAACAACAACAAUAUUAUGAAGAACCACAAAACAGCCAUUUAGGUCUGGGAAAUGUUCCAGAUGGAGAGAACGUUAAUUAUGCUAGUAGACCCUUUUAUGCUAUAUCACCCUACAACCAAAUAAAAACUUUUUACGUGGACAAAACCGGUGUGUACCAUGUAGUACCUUACAGUUACCAACCCAAACAACCUUCAUUGUUUCAAAGAUUAACAAAUAAUAUAAAAACAGUUCUUAAUAAAUUAACUCCAACAAAUAGAUAUAGUUAUGUGUAGUCUUUUAUCUUAUCAAUUAAAAUAAAAAUGCAUUUGUUUAAACAUGCAGUUUUAUUUAAGUGCGCGAUAUUGAAGAAAUUUUAGACAAAAUGAAGAUUUUAAUCGCAUUUAUGGAAUAGCACAAGACUAUAACUGUACCACCGCUGGAAGAUUUAGAUACCGGGAUUCAACAUGUCGUUCUUAUUAUUUAUGCGCUUUGUACAAUGGGGCAUAUGUUAAAAGCGACUAUACUUGUCCCAGUACCAUGGUUUUUGAU